rnacentral:rRNA from 1 species
CACGUAGGGUGCGAGCGUUGUCCGGAAUUAUUGGGCGUAAAGAGCUCGUAGGCGGUGUGUCACGUCGGCCGUGAAAACCUGCAGCUUAACUGUGGGCGUGCGGUCGAUACGGGCAUCACUGGAGUUCGGCAGGGGAGACUGGAAUUCCUGGUGUAGCGGUGAAAUGCGCAGAUAUCAGGAGGAACACCGGUGGCGAAGGCGGGACUCUGGGCCGAUACUGACGCUGAGGAGCGAAAGCGUGGGGAGCGAACAGG